AUACGGAGGAUGCGAGCGUUAUCCGGAUUUAUUGGGUUUAAAGGGAGCGUAGGUGGGAUAUUAAGUCAGCUGUGAAAGUUUGGGGCUCAACCUUAAAAUUGCAGUUGAUACUGGUUUCCUUGAGUACGGUACAGGUGGGCGGAAUUCGUGGUGUAGCGGUGAAAUGCUUAGAUAUCACGAAGAACUCCGAUCGCGAAGGCAGCUCACCGGGCCGGAACUGACACUGAUGCUCGAAAGUGCGGGUAUCAAACAGGAGUAGAUACCCUGGUAGUCCGCACAGUAAACGAUGAAUACUCGCUGUUUGCGAUACACGGUAAGCGGCCAAGCGAAAGCGUUAAGUAUUCCACCUGGGGAGUACGCCGGCAACGGUGAAACUCAAAUGAAUUGACGGGG
rnacentral:rRNA from 1 species